rnacentral:sRNA from 1 species
GACCAAGGUUCGACUCGAGCGAAGCGAGAGAACGUUGCCGCAGGCGACGGCCCGAAGGGCGAGGCGCUUUAGCCCCGAGUA